GGCCGCAUCACAUUGAAACACCGGUUCGCAUAUGAUCACUGAAGUUAAGCAAUGUCAAGCAUGGCCAAUACCUAGAUGGGUGACCGCUUGGGGAUACCAGGUGCUGUAAG